rnacentral:lncRNA from 1 species
GUGUCUGUGAAUGCUUGGGUGGGGAAUGAAGCUCAAGAACAGAUGUUACCACCUUCAAAGGGAUCCUUCCAAAUGCAAAGCUUUACCUGCUGUACAGUUCUCCCUGGAAUGUAAAACUGUGGACAAAUGAAGAUCAGAUCAUUCUGGGAUUGGCUGAAAGACGUUUCUGUUAGUACAAAUAUCUGGGCUAAAUACCAUGGGCUACCCAUGUCCAGCUCCAUGUCCUCGGUGUCUGGGAUAAGGCUCAUCUCUGGUUUACCAAACCUGCUACUGGCAGCAAUGUCUAAGACACACAGGAGGGCAGGUAUUAGAACACCAUUCCCAGGUCAAGAGAAAGGCUCCAUAGCAAAACAGUGCCAGCCAGCUUUCUACCAAUGACCUUGACCUCAGGAGCCUGAAUUAUCAAAAGAACAUGAUGCCAGCCAUGAAACACUGGUAUACUCAACAAUCUAGCAAGGACCACAUCUUUGCCAGUGAGCAUCUAGACAACAAAAAGGAGCAAGGAUGGUCACCAAUCACUCCUGCCUUGAAGUUAUUAUCUUGCCAAAGAUGCAAGCUUGUUUUGAUUUUGCUGUUUAUUUAUGUUUCCCCACAGAAACAUACUCUAAUCAUAAAUGAAUGAGUCAAAGCUCUUCAGGGGUGUGAGUAUUGGCUCACCAAAAUCCCACAACCAGAAUUGUACCUUGGAGACUCAACCUGGUGAGGUCUGGACUUUUGUAAUAAGCUGAUCUGAAGAAUGUGAGUGGCAUUUCACCCAAAGCAACGAACCAAGAUGUGGUGAGCACUAUGGCAGUCAACUUCAUUAUUGUAAAGAAAAUUGCAUGCAUGGGAUAUACCCAACUCCUAAGGAGGAGAAUGGCUUAGAAGUAUGCUCUGCCCUUGUCUGUGACAUGCACAGAACCAGCAGCAGACAGACAGCAUCCCCUGGGAAUAACAAGUGUCCACUCUUGGCUUCUAAGGCUUCAAUGCAGAAAGCUCAGCCUACCCCAUGGGCAACUUUUUCUACCUCUUCAUCUAGCCAGUUUGGUCAGCAGUGCUGGUGAGCUUCAGUGGCCUGGCUUUGUUCUGGGCUCUGAACCCUUGGGUGAAGGGUGAGAUCCAGAAAUGUCCUGGAUAAAUGUGUCCUUAAGGGUCUUUCCCUGUGCAUUAAGAGCAGUAUUGUAUUCCUAGAAUUCUUUAGUUCUCACUGAAGUGU